UACUGAUGCAACUGUUGAGUCCCUAGGAU
rnacentral:piRNA from 1 species